GACGAACGCUGGCGGCGUGCCUAAUACAUGCAAGUCGAACGCAGUGGGGACGGGUGAGUAACACGUGGGUAACAUCCAAUCAGAGGGGAUAACACUUGGAAACAGGUGCUAAACCGAUACUGAUGGAUGGACUCGGGGUGCAUUAGCUAGUCGGUGAGGUAACGGCUCACCAAGGCCACGAUGCAUAGCUGGCCUGAGAGUUGGAUCAGCCACACUGGGACUGGGACACGGACCAGACUCCUAAGGGAGGCAGCAGUGGGGAAUUUUGGACAAUGGACGCAAGUCUGACCAAGCAAUGCCGCGUGGAUGAAGAAGGUUUUAGGAUCGUAAAGUUCUUUUGUUGGGGAGGCGUUAUCUGCCCAAAAAGCCCCGGCUAACUCCGUGCCAGCAGCCGCGGUAAUUC
rnacentral:rRNA from 1 species